rnacentral:misc_RNA from 1 species
AUUUAUUUAUUUAUUAUUUUUUUAAUGGACAUGGCCAUGUACUGUAACCUAUGUGCCUUUAGUGUUUAUUACUGCACUGUCUAACAACUAACAUGAUUAACAGUGAUGGUCUAUGAUGGGUCGAGGGAGGCGUCUGGCCCUUGGCAUCUUUGUCCUGCUGGUGGUCGACGUCAUUUGGGUGGCUUCAUCAGAAUUGUCGGAGUAUAUCUUCAAUGAUACCGGCUUCAAUAAACCUUUUUUCAGUACAUACUUAAAGACCAGUAUGUUUUCACUAUAUUUGCUGGGAUUUAUAUUUUGGAGCCCCUGGAGACACCAAUGUGCCCAAAGAAACCACGAUGAGAGUAUUUACCAGGAAGUGGAUUCAAUGGAGGAUGAAGAUUUACCGCUGUCAGAUGUUUGACGAGAGACAGGCGCACCCCUCCACCUGUGCCCAUCUUCACUUUGGACCAGCUGGCAUCUAGUGUUGCGAGAGACAGUGAUGCGAAUGCUCAACUGACACAUUUGGUCCUGUGGCACUAUUUACCCAUUCAACAAGCUAGAACGAUUUAUAACAACAAUGAUGAAAAGAGUGAACCAAAGUAUGUUCCUCUGAAACUACAAGAAUUGCAAGAAAAAAGCUCUGAUGGAGAAUCUGAUGACUCUUCAGUAAAGUCCGUCCGCUUCAGCAAAUUGACAGAGGUAUGUAGUGAUGCUUCUUUUAAGAGAAUACCAGUAACUAUUUAAAUUUAAAGGUAAGUCUAGAUUGUUGGGAAUGUAAUUACUGAAAGUGAAGAUCUUCAACAAAUUCUUUAUGUCCAGGGCUUAGUUUUGGAAUUUCUGUAGUUCAAGACAGAGUUAAUAUGAUUUAAAUCAGAGUGAAAAAAUCAUGAUUAGAUUUUAUUUUACUUAUUUUUUUUAUACUAAUAAUAGAAACUAUAUUUUCCCUUGAGAUUCUUUGUGGUAGUAUAGCUACAGUUGAUAUAAUUCAGCUCCCCACUAACUUGAAUAAUUGAUGCAGAGCUCUUCCGGGAAUGAGAGAUUUCCCGGUAAUGAUACAAAUUUCUCAAACCCGGAAAAUUCAACAUUCCUGGAAUUUUUUAUUGGUAAAAGAAUACUACUUCGCUAUUCGCAACCCCAUUCUCAUGGUGGGAGGCUACUGUCUUGCCUUUCAAGAAGACUUGAAAAGAGGCUCUUUGCCCUCGAGAAUAUUGCCCCAUAGUUCUUAUCUCCUGUAUCUGCAAGCUGUUUGAAAAGAUGGUCAAGUCUCGAUUAGUAUACUACCUGGGGAAGAAUGCCCUUCUUUCACCAUAUUAAUCUGGCUUCCGGAUGAUGCUGCAACAACAGAUGCUCUUGUUUGUAUUGAGUCCUCGGUCUGUGAGUCCUUUGCUCAUUGCCAACAUCUCAUCUGUAUUUAUUCGACCUAGAGAAAGCAUAUGACACAGCUUGGAGAUUCGGCAUCUUUAAGGACCUUCAAAAUUUUGGCUUGCAGGGAAAUUUACCAUCAAUAAUAGGUCAGUUCUUGGGCUGUUGGACUUUUAGGGUCCACAUUGCCACAGAAAUGUCAGCACCACAUAUUCAGGACCAUUGCAAUAAAUGGGGUAACAGCUUCUCAUUGUAUGUAGACAACUUGGCCACUUGGUAUGCAGCUUCCCGCAAGUUAGUGGCUGAACGUCACAUGCAACUUGCACUAGAUAAGGCUUUUCAUUGGACCACAGAGCAUGGUUUCAA